rnacentral:tRNA from 1 species
UGCCCUAGUAGCUUAAACCACCCUAAAGCCCUG